AUGUCAUGAUGUGGACACUUCUUAAGCAAAUCGUUGAAUUUUUCCCAUGCCUCAUGAAAUAAUUCCCCAUCCCCCUGACAAAAUUCUCUAAUUGAAAUUCUCAUUGC